UACGAAGGGGGCUAGCGUUGCUCGGAAUUACUGGGCGUAAAGGGCGCGUAGGCGGCACUGUUAGUCAGGCGUGAAAGUCCUGGGCUCAACCUGGGAACUGCGCUUGAUACGGCAGAGCUAGAGGAUGGAAGAGGCUCGCGGAAUUCCCAGUGUAGAGGUGAAAUUCGUAGAUAUCGGGAGGAACACCGGUGGCGAAGGCGGCGACCUGGGUCGAGACUGACGCUGAGGCGCGAAAGCGUGGGGAGCAAACAGG
rnacentral:rRNA from 1 species